rnacentral:lncRNA from 1 species
CCGCCGCCGCCGCCGCGCGCUCUACCGGCCCGCGAGUCCUCCGCGACAUCCGGGCCAGCGUCUGCACCCAGCCACGUGUCCUGCCCCUGAAACACUCUGUCUUCCUGCUUUGAGGACAGCUGAAGUCUUGCCACUUCUUCUGGAUGCUCUGACCAUCAGUAAGCCACCUCAGUCUCACCCUCCGCAGAAUGCAGGCCCACUCCGUUGCUGAAGGGCCUCCUCCUUGGGCCAGGGCGCCUGCUUCUGCCAGUGGCAUCAUCACCCCACUCCUCAGCCGCCAGUCAUCAGAGACACGGUCUGACUUUGUUACCCCGGCUGGAGUGCAGUGGUGCAAUCAUGGCUCACUGCAGCCUUAACCUCCUGGGCUCAAGUGAUCCUCUCGCCAAGGCUAGGAUAAGUAGCUAGGACUACAGAUGCGCCCCAUCACGCCCAGCUAAUUUUACAACUUCUGUAGAGAUGGAGUGUUGCUGGGUUGCCCAGGCUGGUCUUGAAUUCCUGGGCUCAAGCGAUCCUCCUGUGUCCGGAAUUGGUGGGUUCUUGGUCUCACUGACUUCAAGAAUGAAGCCGCGGACCCUCGCGAGUCUGUAUCCACCAGCUACUCUUCCAGAUUCAUGAGGCAAGGCCUGCCUGCUCACCUGGCUGGCCCCAAGCACCUCUUCAACCUGUUGCCACCGUCCUGCCUUGCUGCCCUUCUCAGCUCAUCCAGCAGGGUCUCCAAGUCGUGGAAACAGAAGCACAUAUACACACAUGCUCAUAUGUACAUGCCCACAGUCACAUAAGCACACCGAGAAACACCAUCGCAGACAUGUUCUCACAAGCACAUGUGCAUAACACUCACUACCCCUCACGCGUAUACACAUUAAUACACACACUCAUGCACACUCAGUCUUACACACACAGACACACAGCCAUAAUCACUGUUGUUGGUUGAAUUGUGCCCCCCCAUCCCCACCAAAAAGAUAAGUUGGAGUCCUAACCCCCAGUACCUGGGGAUGUGACCGUAGUUGGAAAUAGGGUGUUUGUAGAUGUAAUCAAAUUAAGAUGAGAUCUUACUGGAUUAGAGUGGGCCUUAAAUCCAGUGACUGGUGUCCUUAUAAGGAGAAAAAGAUUUGAAAACAGAGACAUGGAGACACAGAGCAGAAGGCCAUGUGAUGAUGGAGUCAGAGAUUGGAGUGAUGCAGCUAUGAGCCGAGAAAUACCAAGGUGCUGGCAGCCCCCAGAAGCAAGGAGAGAGGCAAGGAACAAUCUCCAUCAGAGCCUCUGGAAGAAACAGACUCUGCCAACACCUUGAUUUCAGACUUUUGGCCUCCUUCACUGUGCGAGAAUACGUUUCUGUUGUUUUAAACUACUGAGUCACCAAGUCUGUGGUACUGUGUUAUGGCAGCCCCGGCAACAAAUCCAAUCACACACACACACACACACACACACACACACACACACACACACACACACACAGCUGGCUCCAGGCUCAGUGAUGAGCUCAGAGGAGUUCCCCUUGGGAGCUGCUCUUUCUCUGUCUUCCUUCCUUAGUGAUUGGUCCAGUGGAUCCACAAAAGCUCAUGGCCCAGAGCAGGAGCCCAGUCAUUUUUAAUUCCUCUUCCCUGGAGUUCUUAACCAUGCGUUGCCCUCAAAAUCUGCUCUCAAGAUUUGGGUUGCCAUAUUUAGGAGCACCAGAAAACAUACAGGAAUGCUGUGUCUGCUUGCAUCAUAUUAAUUAAAAACUGGAAAUAACCUAAAUGUCCCAGAAUAGGUACAUAAACUGUGGCAUAUCCACUUAAUGGAAUACUACUCAGCAAUACAAAAGGAAAACCUAGUGUUACUUGAGCAACAUGGAUGAACUUCACAGACAUAAUAUUGCACAGCACGAGGCAGACACAAAAGUGUGCAUAUGCUAUGAUUCCAUUUACAUGAGAUUCAAGAACAGGCAAAGCAGAUCUAUGGGGAUAGAAGUCAGAAUAGUGGUUACCUCUGGAAGGUGGAAUUGACUGGGAGGGGCUUCAGGGAACCUCCUGGGGUGCUGAAAACAUUCUGUGCUUGCACCGGGUGGUGGUUAUGUGGGCAUUACAUAAAAUUCACCAAGCUGCACCCUUAAUGAUUUGUACAAUUUGAUGCACAAAUCUAACAUCUCAAGAAGAAUAAAUUUUACAAAGUACCUAAGAAGCAAAUGACCAGAA